rnacentral:lncRNA from 1 species
CACAUUUUCUUUUCUCUUUUUUUUUGAAGGUCAAAGAAAGAGAUAUCAACCAGAUGAGAAGACCAGGGGAACAAAUGGUUGGCUUUGGCUGGCCUCUUCUGGCCUGUGAGGGAGGGAUGGCACCUUUGACCCACAGCUGGCCUGCCCAAGGAAUUGCCCAUCUGUAGAUUCCCCCUGGAAAGCACCACUUCUCUGUUCCAAGGAAAACAUAGGGGUUAAGGUGGGAGCUUGAGAGACUGACAGCGUGGGCUCAAAUCUUAACUCCCCCAGGGAGCCUCCGUUUUAUUUAAAUUUUCACCUUCAUCUAGCACAAUGAUUCAGCGAGGCAAGUUCAGUGUCAGGGCAGCUGCUGUUAAGUGCAAGCCUUUGUGUGAAUCAGGAAGGGACAUGCCUCCUUCAAAACAAACCCUACAGGCUCUGGGUCCAUAAAGCACAAAUAAACACCCCAUCAAGGCCCAAGCAGUCUUCCAGCCUGGGGCCUGGCAAGCAGGGCCCGGAGAGGAUGUUAGCACCUUUGGCCUCUGCCCUGGGUGCUCUCAGGAAGGGCCCAACUACGACUCCAUGUUGUAGCCCUGACAGGUCCCACCAUUUUGCAGGCAGGGCGGGUAAAGUAUUUGUGUUCUGAAAAGAUCACCCUGACUAUUGUGUAGGAAGUGGAUUGGAAGAGGCUGAGGUUGGAUGCAGGAAAUGGUGAGAGGCCUAGGGCCACUGUCCAGGUGAGAGAUGACAGGAAUUCAGGAGAAGGGGAUGCAGGGAUGGCCAGAAGUAGACAGGUUCCAGGAAACAGAGUCAACAGGUGUGGGGGCUUCUGUGAGGACUCAGGACCUGAUGAAGAUGGCAUCAACAAACCUAUCAACUGAGGGCUUAUAUGUACCAGGCACUAAGUUAUUCAUGCAAGUUCUUUGAACAAGGAGAACUAACUUCAUCCCUGUGUGCUUACUGUGAGGAUCCGAGAAAACAAGGAGCCUAUGGUAGCUCCUUCACUGAUGGUAAACCCUGGUUUGAUUAUUACUGAGCAGAGAACAUUGAAAUUCCUCUGUUAGUAAAGAAGCCCUGGUCUGUGGGGCUGGGCAGUAGUCUAGGGCUAGACAGUGGUACAAAAUUAAGACAGUAGUUUCAUCACUUGCUGGGCAUCAGAUCAGAUUCCUCCUGUUAACUUUUAAAGGUUACAUAUACUCAACCCCACCUCCAUGCAGCUGUUCUUGGGCAGGGGUCUUGGUAUCAGUGUUUUAAAAGCUCUCCAGAUAGCCCUGGUAAAGAAGCACUGAGUUAAAAGAAGAAUCUAUGGAAUCUGACAAAUCGAGGUGAAAACCCAGCUUGCCCUUCACAGCAUGGUUUCCCUUGCUUAAGCCUCAGAUUUUCUGUUUGCAGGUGGAGAACUGAAAUUCUGCCCCUUUGAGGUUGUGAGGAUUAAACGAGGUGUUGUAUGUACUCCGUGGUACCUCUGGGGACAUCUCCGUUCAUGCCUAGCUUAGCAUGGAGGCUGGCCCCUCAUGUGGAUUCAACAGAUGUGACUUCCAUGACUGUGGGGUCAGGAAGCAAAGGGACCACAUGGGGCCAUAGGCUAGCCCCAGGGUUGAGUGCUCUACAUCCAUCACCUUGUUUAGUUCUUGCCUCAAGUGUGCUUCCUUCACAGAUGCAGAAACCCAGACCCUGGGAAGAAAUAAUCUUCCCAGAGGUGCAAAGCAGGAGGGCUGGAUUUGAGUCCUGUUCUGUCUGUCUAGAGGACAGCACGAAGCAGACUCAGGCCAUGGCUUAUUAUUCAAGAGGAAGACUUGUUACCAAAGUGAUGCUACCAGGGACACAGUCUGAACUGUGUGUGAACUGCUGGGCUGAGCCACAAAGUGAAGGGAGGGAACAGCUAGACACCAGCAAAGGCAGCUGCUACUAAGAGCCUCUCAGAUAUAAGAAGAGGAGAUGGUCUAGGAUCCAGGAGUAGAGGGAAAGAAGUGUGAGAGAGGCUGCUGCUGACGUAUCUAGGCUAAGGCUAGGGUAUGAACAAGACUGCACACGCCAACAGACCCAGUGCCUUCCAUAAGCCAUUCAGGUAAAGGCAUUCAACCCUCUUCUUCAUCCAGAGAUGCCUCCUAUCCCUAAGAUAAAGGCAGGGGUCCACCCUCUUCCAUAGGAUCCAUCUCUUGGCAUGUCUUCCUACCCUCCCCCUUUCUGGGACUUGCCGCCAUCCCCAUUAUGGACCCAGCCAUAUUUGUGUAAUGACACCCCUUUUGUCUUUGGGGAAUUCAGAAGGACUGUCCAUGAGAAAAGAAUAGCUAUUCCAGACUGGAAGAUUUUUGACUUCCUGCUUUUCAAGUGUAUUUGCUUUUAUCAAUGCAGGGAAUUUGCUACUGGCCAGAUAGAACUGCAUUUUGAUACCACACUGGGGCCCAAGGACAUCUCAAACCCCUGUGUGGGAAUACCAAUUUCUCAUAAAGAAGUAGAAAUCAACACUAGCAGCUUCCCUGCUAAGUUAAAAAAAAUUACAUAAUUCCUUGUGCACCACUGCAUUAGGAAGAUUUUUUUUUUUCUUUUCUUGAAUGUACAGUAAAUCCCAAGUGGUUUAAGUCAUGGUGCCUCUCCUUAAACACAAUAUGAAGUCGCUACCACACUAAAAUAAAAAAAUAAAUAAAUUCUGUGUUGUGCUAGGAGAGUCUCCUGCCAAAAACUCUCACACAAUUAACACACUAGCAGAAUGUGUUGCUAAUUUCAUGCCACUGGAGUCUUUUCUGCUUCAGAAUAUAGAAACAAAAUCGGGUCAGAGCUCCAAUAAUAACAGGAUUUUGUUAAAAUGUACAGGCCUGCGUUGCAGAUAUGUUGUAGGCAUGGGUGAAAAGCAGAAUCACAGUGAUGCAUGAAAUAGCUUACUCCUGCAAAUAGAACGGAAAGAACUUGUCUCCAGCUUGGGAAGAGAGAGAGAGAGAGAGAGAGAGAGUCAGUCAGUUCAGUCUAAGCCCAGAACUGCUCAUUCUGGGGGCAAAGCUUCAUUUUCAAUGCCCAUCCACUGACUUUUACAGGGGAGGCAAAUGCCAGGCAAAGAAACUAGGGAAGCCCAAACCCAGUAAAUCACAGAAUUCUGAUUUCCGUAGUUUUCUCUUAGACUCCUCUCUCUCCUCUUAGCCUUCUUACACAGGACCUGGUCUUUUCCAUAACAAAAACAGCGAUAAUGAAAAUAUUUUGGCAGCAUUCAGGCCUUUCACAUCAUGACCCUGACCUCUAAAUCAAUUUUCUUUAUUCUUAACCUGACCUUGGCAUCCAUUCUCCCUGGCGUUCAAUAUUAGUUACAAAAUCUUGAACUCCCUGAGACCUUCCUUCCCCCCCGCACCCCCCUAACCAAGGCAGACCACGCUGGGGAAGCCCUGGAGAGGAAAGACAGAGAAAGCUUCUUGACAAAGAGAAAUAAUAAUGAGAUAAACAAGCCCGAUGUGUUCUAUAGGAGUCUCAUUUGCACCAAAUGCCAUUAGCCCCAUUAUUUACGCAGAUAACGGUGGAGGCAGCCUGGGCUCCCCGUGUGCGUGCGCAGGGCGCUGUGGAGAACACCAUGCAUCACCAGGCGGCCCAGGCGCUUCACUUAAAUAGUGAUCUGUAAGGGAGAGCAUGUUACAUUGCAUCCAUCACCUAUGGGCUCGCCGGGUGCACAGACUGGAAAAAUUGCGCACAUUUCUCCGUUGCUGCCUGCAUUAAUACUAGAAAGGGAGUGAACUGAAAAGAGAAAGUGCCAAUUUCAGCACACAUGUUAAAAAGAGAAGCAAAGAAUAGGAGGAAAAGAAAGCAUCACCCAGGCUCAGGAGCUGAGCCGGCUGGGGGAGGUUUUUUAAAGGAGAAGACAGCUUUUCAGAACUCUCCAGCAUUGACCAGGAGAAUAAGGACCCACUGAGACAAGAGUUCGGGGUCAGCAUACAUUUGAGAGAAGAAAUUAGCUGGCAAGGGCUAUUUUUCUGCAAAUUAGUUUUCUCUCAAGGGUAACCGUGGGGGAGGAGCAGAGGAAAAUGAACUGGAGCCCAUUGAAUAAUCCAGUAUUGUUUGGCUGGUUGCCAUGACCUGUGAACUGAUGCUCCCAGAAGCUUUUCCAGGCCCUUCUUUCAUUCCGGCCAUCUCACAGCUGUUGAUGUGUGUCCUGAUGGAGCAGCUAUGAGGACAGCAGUGUGGCCCCGUGAAACAACCAUGCACAGAGCCUCGGCUCCACUUGACCAGAAAGGCAUGGUUUGCUAGCCAUUCCAGCCCACUAGAGGCUGGACAAGUGGCAGGACAGGACAAGGGGGGAAAGACAGGAUCCAAACUCUGUAUUGGUCCCAAAGAACAGAGCCCAGGGGCAAGGUGCAAAACCACAGCAACACAGCCUGAAGUGACAGACCAGCUUUUCUUGGGAUUAAAAGAACCAAGAGUUCAGCAGCAGUUGGAACAAUCAAAUGCAAAGGGAAUUCUUCUAGGAUGUUUAUGACAUCAAAACGAGCCAGUUCAUCCUAAGGUACCUGUGCCUUGUGGUUUUCAAGUUCGGGUUCUGACUGGAAUUCUCAGCAUCAUGCUCUUCCUUCAGACACAUUAUCCUCCUGACUCGGGAAUUUAUGAACACUGUGUCAUCUAAACCAGGGUCCCCUCUAAGUAUCCCAAAUGCAGAGGAGCAGAAAGUACAAGUGCAGGUGAAGUGAAGCUGGAAGGGGCUCCUCAUAAGGGGCAGACUGCUUGGACACCUUGUUCAUCUUUUAAAAAAAGUACCUAAAUCUGAUAUAUUAUGUGGCACUCUGAAAUAAUGAACCUUAAAAAGAGCACACUUUUAAUCCCUGUAGUAUCUCGAUUCUUCCACAUCAUUCUAAGACAGAGCUCAAUCUAUAUCAGAACAUAAAAGGACAAUCACCCAUUUUCUGUUUGAACGGGAUCCAUCCCAGAUAUCCAAAACUUAAAACAUGAAAAGGAAAACAUGUCAUAAAAACAAAGGAACAGGGUAAUUACAAUGAAGGAAAAUGGGAAAGUUGAUAAUCAGUUUAAUCUGUGGCUUUGGACACACUGGGGCAUAUUCCCAUUUGGCAAAGCUUUAUAGAAGAGAAGGCUAUUGUAAAGUGAUGAAAAACAGACCUCACUGGUUGUAACCACUUUGUAAUAAACUGCCAUGUCAUGUCCACUCUGAUGCAGUCAGAGCACAGUGCAGCACCAGGCAUAUAGCAGGUGCUCAAUAAAUAUUUGUUGAAUUAAAA